rnacentral:rRNA from 1 species
GACGAACCGUACGAGCGUUAUUCGGAAUCACUGGGCUUAAAGGGUGCGUAGGCUGCGCAGCAAGUUGGGUGUGAAAUCCCUCGGCUUAACCGAGGAACUGCGCCCAAAACUGCUGUGCUCGAGGGAGACAGAGGUGAGCGGAACUUAGGGUGGAGCGGUGAAAUGCGUUGAUAUCCUAAGGAACACCGGUGGCGAAAGCGGCUCACUGGGUCUCUUCUGACGCUGAGGCACGAAAGCUAGGGGAGCGAACGGG